rnacentral:rRNA from 1 species
GACGAACGCUGGCGGCGUGCUUAACACAUGCAAGUCGAACGGAAAGGCCCUGCUUUUGUGGGGUGCUCGAGUGGCGAACGUGUGAGUCACCCGUGAGUAACCUGCCCUUGACUUUGGGCUAACUUCAGUACACUGGGGCUAAUACCGGAUAGGAGCUCCUGCUGCAUGGUGGGGGUUGGCAAGUUUCGGCGGUUGGGGAGGGACUCGCGGCUUAUCAGCCUGUUGUUGGGGUAGUGUCUUACCAAGGCUUUGACGGGUAGCCGGCCGGAGCGGGUGACGGGCAACAUUGGGAGGGAUAUGCGGCCCAGACGACUACGGGAGGAGGCAGUGGGGAAUAUUGCACAAUGGGCGGAAGCCGGAUGCAGCAACGCCGCGUGGGGGAUGAAGGCCGUCGGGUGGUAGUCCGCUUUCGCCUGUGACGAAGAGUGAGUGACGGUAAUGGGUAAAGAAGCACCGGCUAACUACGUG